UUAACCUGGCCUUGACAUACUAAGAACUUUCCAGAGAUGGAUUGGUGCCUUCGGGAACUUAGAUACAGGUGCUGCAUGGCUGUCGUCAGCUCGUGUCGUGAGAUGUUGGGUUAAGUCCCGCAACGAGCGCAACCCUUUUCCUUAUUUGCCAGCGGGUUAAGCCGGGAACUUUAAGGAUACUGCCAGUGACAAACUGGGAGGAAGGCGGGGACGACGUCAAGUCAUCAUGGCCCUUACGGCCAGGGCUACACACGUGCUACAAUGGUCGGUACAAAGGGUUGCUACCUCGCGAGAGGAUGCUAAUCUCAAAAAGCCGAUCGUAGUCCGGAUCGCAGUCUGCAACUCGACUGCGUGAAGUCGGAAUCGCUAGUAAUCGCGGAUCAGAAUGCCGCGGUGAAUACGUUCCCGGGCCUUGUACACACCGCCCGUCACACCAUGGGAGUUUGUUGCACCAGAAGUAGGUAGUCUAACCGCAAGGAGGACGCUUACCACGGUGUGGCCGAUGACUGGGGUGAAGUCGUAACAAGGUAAGCGUAGAUGA
rnacentral:rRNA from 1 species